AGUGACACAAAGGGUUAAAGUAGGGGAAUUAAAUAGUUUGUUACAGAAGGGUUUAUUGAGUGCUUGGUAGGUCAUUUUUGACAGGUGCAGGAAUGGAGUCAUGGGGUGGGGGAUGAGAAACCUGCUGACAGUUUAAUUGAUACGCUUUAAUGAAGAAGUGAGUUUUCAAAGAUUUUUUGAAGGAAUGGAGGCUGGGUGAAAGUCUGAUUGAGGAG